AUGCAAUCCCUUUGUUCCCUGUUCACAAAACUUUGGUGGCUUGAGUGAGUGAAACACCUUGCAAUGUAACAGUACAUGCUCUUCCUGCACACUGUCCUUUUUGAUCUUCCGUCCUUGCAGACUCAAGAAAUUUUAUGUUGAGGUCCAGGGGCCUGAGAAGGAUUUAGAAUUGGAUGAGGCAACACCAGGAUGCUGGAGGGGUCUCUCCAUGUGACUGAGGAAGUGGCUGCACUUCCAGCCCAUCAAAACAUGUAGGCUGCGUAAAAAGCGGUCGUCAAAAAAGUAAAGGAUAAAGUGCAGUCACGUUCUAGAACAUGUUUAAUUUUCAGAUACAGAUCUACAAAGAUCCUACACAGUUUCCUUUCCAGGGAAACAAAUAAAAACAACAGCAGGGUAUCUCCAAGCGACUGAGGAAGUGGUUGCGCUUCAAGCCCAUCAAAACAUGGAGGCAGCGUAAUAAGCUGUCCUCAUCAAAGUAAAGGAUAAAGUGCAGUCAUGUUCUGAAAAAAAUUAGAUUUUCAGAUGCAGGUCUACACAGAUUCAUCACAUUUUCCUUUACAAGGAAACAAAUACAGAAUUAGAGCAUUAAAAUUAAUAACUUGUUUUAUUGAUUAUCGUCUAAGAAGUUCAACCACAUCAGGUUUUGCAGCAGCACUGCUAAUAGGGGAGACCGGGCCGGUUUUAUCACUGAUUACCCAAGUGCUUAUUUCUCAGGGUGGGGUUAUUUUUGAAACUCAAUGUAUGGACAUGAAGUCUUGACUAUAGAAAAGGCUAUUGAACAUUUCCAUUGUUAUUGCUCAGGAAAAAGGUACAGUUCACUUAACACGCACUGACAACAACAAGUCAUAACAAGUGAUAUUCAUCUGGACAGGCAGGCAAAAAAUGGACUACUAUAGCACAGAUCAGAAUUUACCCUCCUACAUGUAAACAUGCUUUAAGCAAGUAAUCACUGUAAUGUGUCUAUCAAAGGGUAUUUUGUUCAAAUAGACAGGGUCUAGAGACUGUUGAAUUAUUUUACAUGAAGCUUAUAUGCCUUUCAAGUUCAACUAGCUUACUGGUAGUUGAUAAUUAUGCUUAACUAAUA